UUCUAGAGAUUUUUAGUCUAGCUUUGGGAAUUUGUGGUUGUCUGUAGAGAUUUCGAUUUGAUUUGCAUGAAGACUGAAACCAUUGUCACCAUCUCUCUAUCAUCCUUAAUUCCACCAAACUAAGGUGCAGCAUUUCAGGCCAUCUUUACCAUAAAAUUACUGCCAUGCUUUUUUAAGGGCAGCAACCAAUAUGCACAUAUGAGCAACCACAUCUUCACAACUAUGCUCUAUCUUACUUCAACCAACUGGUAAACCAUUUUAGCAGCAACAAACAUUGUUCACAUGCAUUUCCCUAAUAGUUUAAGAAACCAUGCAUACAAUUUAUAUCCAUUUUGUGGUGCUAAAAUUAAUCAUCAACCAUGGAUAGAAUAUAACUACCAAAGGUAUAAAGCCAUAGGCUAUAUGACUGGUAUUGACUGGUUUUAAUUGCAACUACUCAGAAGGGGAUUCAAUAUGUGUGUUAGUAUACCCAGUUCAUGUUUAAUUGACCUAACAGCAGCCACACAAUAAAGCAACUAAUUUCACCAGCAAUAACUGGACCAUACACAAGUUUCUAACUCAAUAAAAGUGAAUGCACCACUCCUUGUAAUUAGAAAUGACAACAAAACAUUUAUCAACAUUGUUCAAUACUGAUAAAUUGUAAUUACCAUGCAAGAUUAUAUAACCUACCAUUUAUUUAUAGGAUUAAUUCAUGAUUAGUCUGUAAACAGCCACCAAUAACUGCACAGUUAUGCCAAGAAGCAAAAAUGGUCUAAAAUGACAUUACCUAUUUAUGAACUUCCAGCUUUAACAUCCAAUCUCGAGUCGAACCAUAUAUAUUCAGAUCACUGUAUAUUUGUAGAAGUCGAUCAACUUUUAUAUGUUCACACAGCCACCAAGGUAGCAACCAACCCCAACUGAACCCCUCGAAACCUGUGAUAAAAAACAGAAUUUGUUAUUCUUCUACAUCUGAUUUUGCAUUACUACUUAAAUGAAAAUAGUUUAAAGUUAGAUACUUACAUGCAUGAGUUGCCCCAACAAACCACCAAAAUAAUAUUAUCAUGUGUCCCCCUAUUAGUUUACAGGGACAUGGAUUUUACAGUACUCCAUUUCACAUCUAUACAAAAUACUCUAUGGGUACUAAGAUAUAUCACAAGCCCAAUAGCUCUCACACCUGCUACUCCGCUAGCUCCCACAAAAAAUUAUGUCUAACCUCCCACACCUAUUAACAAAACCCAUCCACUAUAUUAACCCCAAAAAUUUCCAAUAAAUGUUACUUUUUUUUUUUAACAUUUGGUCACUGAGUCUCCCCUUGAGACUCUCCCGCUGACUGCUGUUUAGCCGACAACCACCUCAAGAUUUUGUUAGUUUCAAGUUACCUCUCCAUCAUUUUAAUCAUAUCUCCUUUCAUAACCUCUACAGUUGUCUUGUGAUACUCAGCGUCUUUCUGAUGUCAUUCCACUAAGGCAGCGUAUUCUUUAUCCCGUUGAUGGUCAUGUUCUCUUGUUGACUCUAGGAUGACCAUUUCACCCAGGCCUCUUGCAUAGCCAGCUCUAUGCUCGAGUACCUCCCUAAAUAUAGCUGCCACUGCCUCUUCCGUAAAUUCUUCAGGUUCCAACCCAUUCAUUUUUUCAACCAUCUCUUUCUGCACAUACACACAAGUCUGUUAUAUGGGGGAUUGAUCCCUUGCUGGAAAAUCACAUCUAUUAACCAAGCAUUAGCAACAAGUUCAGCUCUAGCUUACAUUUCUAAUUGGACUGAAAAGUAGAAUGACUCACAUGAAUAUUUUCUGUUUCAAUAGUCAUGAAUUGAUUCCUCUUCUUCGACUAGCAAACAUCUUCGUAGAACUCCACCAAGUUGACCCCUUUAGAAAGCUAUAUGUCGAAAAAAAAUAUGGUCAUCGCAAAACAAUUCAUGUUGGCCAAAAACAUUACCUAAACAAAUUUUGGAUGCCUUAAUCAACCCCAACUGAAACAGCCUCAUCUAAAUUUUUGUAGCUCUAUAAAUUGUCAACUUAAUGCCCAUAUAACAACAGUGUACUGAAUUGGUUUAGCUUGUCACCAAGUCCAAUGUAUUAACAAACCACAAUGCACCUUCGGUAAUUUCCAACCUUGACAUGCAUGACUGGCUAGUGAAAAUGGACUUGUGUCCCAUUAACAUGCUACUCAGAAAUUGAUAUACAAUAUAUACUAGCAUUGCCAUCCAAUGCAGCUCAUGAUUAUGCACAACAGUUUAUGCCAUACAAUAAUUUGCUAAUUUUUCAUGUUAAGAAAUAUACCCAGCCUAUGUGUAUAUUUUUUAAAGAUCACAAAUCUUAUACCUUUUCCUCUAGAAUCCUUGCGAACGAUUUCCUCCCUACUGUAUGAUUGAUGUUGCGCUUUUUGCGAUUCUCUCUAUUUUGGUUGGAUAUUUUCUGCACACAACAAGCCAAUGUCAUGAAAUAUGGUUAACAUGAAUUCAUUCCUUCAAUGCCUAUGUCUAAUACAAGAAUAGAAAAAAUGGAAACGAUUGAAGACAUUAGAAUACAUACCUUGAAUGAAUCACUUCCCCACCUAUCACAUAGUUUAGCCCAUACUAUUGGGUCGACCAAGAUUGACCUGGAUGCCAAUGCCUCCUCAUGGCUACCAUAUGAAAGAUACUUUUUGUGCAAGCCAUGGUGAAAAGCAUUAAAAAGCUUACGCAAUGCUUUCGUAAUUGCCAUUUGAUGAUUAUAAAGAUCCCAAUCCAAUUCGAAGUUACCCUACACAUAUGGUAAUUGUUAAUGUCAUUUUCAUAUUGCCAUACUAUAGUGGAAUUUUAAAUAACAUGAGUAAAUGGCUUACUCGGACUCGCUCAAUCAACUCGUCAUUCUCGGCCUUGGGUACAUCGGUCCAUUGUCGAUAACUCAUGUCCACAUUAUGUUUCAAUAUCCAGGUGAUUCGCGUCGUAAACAUCUCGGCAUUUUCAUAACAUGGGGCCAUCUCUCCAUCGUCGUUUAUUUUCAGAGGUAAUCUAGAUGUUGCAUUCUGUCCUACAGUUGGUCUGCAGACAGUAGGCUUCUUUUGAGUGGCAGUAAAGAUUCCACACUCAAGCUAUGGGAUAUCUGGGCACAAAAGUUGAGACAAGACCUUCCAGGUCAUGUAGAUGAGGUUUAUGCUGUUGAUUGGAGUCCAGAUGGUGAAAAGGUAGAUUCAGGUGGUAAAGAUAGAGUAUUGAAGCUAUGGAUGAGUUAAAUUGACCGAACCCCAAUACGUAAUUGAUCGGUGUGCAACUAUUGCGAUAGCUAUCAGAUACCAUAUAGUGUUUUUGCACUACUUGAAGUGAUAAGAUUUUAUUAAUAACCGCUCACUCUCUCACUAUCACAAGUUGAUGCCAUCUCCCGCAAUGAUGCACAUUAAUGAUGGUUCUUAAAACUAUUUUUUCCAACAUGCUAAGAGAUGCACUAUUCUGGAAGGCAUCACUCACUCUAGUCCCACAUAAGCCAAAAAUGGUGUUUCAUACACUAACUAUCUCGCAAGGAAAGAGAAGUGAACGAUUAAAAUCUUUAUGAUUGGUCCUCUAUUUAAAAACGACACAUUUAGACUUAAGUUUCAACAUGGAUAGAUAAUCUCAAAAUAAAUUGUGAAAUGGCAUAAAAUGCAUACAAGUAAUUUGAAGUAAUUUUGCUUCCAGAAAAUAUAACUUUGAAAAUUUGUCCUUGUUGCAGUUGGAGUUUCAGUACAGUUAUUGUGCACUUGUUUUGAUCGUUUGCCUUGUUUCAUUGUUUCCAACUCUAGGAUCGUCUCACCCUUGUGUCCAAAGUUUCGCAAUUACUUUAAGAACAAUGAAGCUUCCUUGUAAUUCAAAAUGGGCAACGUGAAGUAGUUUCAUAGCCAUAAAAACUUACAGUUGCUCUUAGUCCAUGACUCUCUUGCCCUCAAGUUUGUGAAGUACCAUUUGUUAAAUCAAUACUGGCUUAUUGGCAUUAAUAUUACUUAAUAAUAAAAAACAGAGAUUUUAGUAUAUAGUAACUAAAACAAUUUCAAUACUAUCAUAGGAAAUAUACUCGAAAAUGCAUAAAUAUUAUGUUUGAAAAGCAAAAGUGUAGAAGUUACACUUGCUUUAUGAAAUCAUUAUUAUGAAAUGCAUUCUGCAAUAUUGCAAAAAUAGGCAGUCCAGCUGAUGCCAGUGAUGUUUGAAACGUAAAAAUUGAAGGGUAGGCAAAGUUUAUUUAUAACAACUUAGCAUGAGUUGCCUAUGCGCUAUGAAUCAGAUAUUGAAGAAGUUACUCGCCCUCAAGCUUUCAAAAGUGUCCUUUAAAGUCACCUCCACAGGAGUGAAGUUAAGGCCUAAACUUUCUGCUCUCUCCCUGGAUACCAUGUAGGAUGAUGCAAAAGGAUGGUCAUCUCCGCAUCUACAACAUAAAAAGUGUAGGUCAAUUUGUGUCUGAAUUCUAUUACAGCGGUAGUAGCUGUUAUAUGUUAUAGAACACACUAUCUAAUUAACAGGUUGCAUAAACCAAGUACAAAAGCUUCAAAACCGUCGGUUUGAGGUAAAUGGCCGUUUAGAAAAGAGUUAUAGUUAUCUUUUUGUCCUGUAAGCAUGUAUGACAUAGUAAAUCUUGAAUGUGUAACCAGUGUGAAUCGAAAAUUGACAAGUUGAUGCUA